GCUUGGGUAGCUCAGUUGGUAAAACAUCGGGCUUUUAAUCCGAGGGUCCAGGGUUCAAGUCCCUGUUGAGGCA